ACUGCUGAUGUGUGUAAGUGGAUCCAUUUCCAGGGCUUUAGAAUCACAGAACCCAGGUUGGAAGGGACCUCAAGGCAUGUUCAAUAAAGGCUGAGACAUUUCUCUUGACACCUAUCAAGCUGACUUGGAAAACAAUAUUGAAAACAAAACCUCCAAAAUUAUAUAUACCAGGAUUAGAGGCAUAACAAAUAAUGUGGAGUAAUGCAUUCAAAAUUAGAAGGAAUUGUUUUACUUGAGACUAGCAGAUGGCAAAUAGAGUUCAAUGUAGAGAAAUGUAAGGUAAUUGAAGUUGAAGGAACUAAAUAAUCUGGGGAAUACCUGCUAAGUGGAACAAUCAUCCAGCACAGUGAUCAAGAAAAAGACUUGGGGAUUAUAGUGGAAAGAAUUGUUAAAACCAUGAUCCCAUUGAACAGGUUCAGUAAAAUAGACAAAUUGUGUAUUAGGUUGUGUUAGAAAAGUGAAAAGUUUUAAGAUCAAGGAAGGGUACAGUGAGCACUUACUAAAAGCUACCAAAAUUGCUGAAUACUCUCAUAAAGCCGCCUUUUGAAACUGCAAUACAUUUACUAAAAUAACAGACCAGGCUGUUGAGCCCUCCUUUGGUUAUUCUGUUAGUUAAAUUUAUUCUGUCAUCCAAAGCUGGGAUACGUUCCUUCAGUGGUUUGUGCUCUAAGAAAGUACAUUGGGCUUGCUGCUCUUUUCCACCCAUAGGCCAACAAAUAAAGAUUUAAAUGAUG